rnacentral:rRNA from 1 species
AUCUGCCCUAUGAUAAGUUAAAUGGCUGCGGUAUUUUGACCGUACAAAGGUAGCAUAAUCAUUAGUUUUUUAAUUGGGAACUGGUAUGAAAGAUUGAACGAGAAAAAGACUGUCUCAAUUUAAUUUAAAUUAGAAUUUUAUUUUUAAGUAAGAAAGCUUAAAUAUUUUUAAAAGACGAGAAGACCCUAUAGAGUUUUAUAUUUAAAUAUUUAUAUAAAAAAUUAAAGAAUUAUUUUUUUUUUAUAAAUAUUAAUGUAUUUAAUUGGGGCGAUUAAAAAAUUUAAUUAACUUUUUUUAAAUUUAAACAUUAAUUUAUGAAUAGGUGAUCCAUGUUUAAUGAUUAUAAGAU